rnacentral:rRNA from 1 species
CGGUUUGUGUUCCAAAUGAUUUAUCGCCGUAGGAUGGGACUGCGGCCUAUCAGUUUGUUGGUGAGGUAAUGGCCCACCAAGACUAUUACAGGUACGGGCUCUGAGAGGAGUAGCCCGGAGAUGGGUACUGAGACACGGACCCAGGCCCUAUGGGGCGCAGCAGGCGAGAAAACUUUGCAAUGUGCGAAAGCACGACAAGGUUAAUCCGAGUGGUUUCUGCUAAAGGAACCUUUUGUCGGUCCUAGAAACACCGAUGAAUAAGGGGUGGGCAAGUUCUGGUGUCAGCCGCCGCGGUAAAACCAGCACCUCAAGUGGUCAGGAUGAUUAUUGGGCCUAAAGCAUCCGUAGCCUGCUUUGUAAGUUUUCGGUUAAAUCUGUGCGCUCAACGUACAGGCUGCCGGGAAUACUGCAAAGCUAGGGAGUGGGAGAGGUAGACGGUACUCGGUAGGAAGGGGUAAAAUCCUUUGAUCUAUUGAUGACCACCUGUGGCGAAGGCGGACUACCAGAACACGUCCGACGGUGAGGGAUGAAAGCUGGGGGAGCAAACCGGAUUAGAUACCC